rnacentral:rRNA from 1 species
GUGACCUCAAAUCAGGUAGGACUACCCGCUGAACUUAAGCAUAUCAAUAAGCGGAGGAAAAGAAACUAACAAGGAUUCCCCUAGUAACUGCGAGUGAAGCGGGAAAAGCUCAAAUUUAAAAUCUGUCAGCUUUGGCUGUCCGAGUUGUAAUCUAGAGAAGUGUUAUCCGCGCUGGACCGUGUACAAGUCUCCUGGAAUGGAGCGUCAUAGAGGGUGAGAAUCCCGUCUUUGACACGGACUGCCAGGGCUUUGUGAUGCGCUCUCAAAGAGUCGAGUUGUUUGGGAAUGCAGCUCAAAAUGGGUGGUAAAUUCCAUCUAAAGCUAAAUAUUGGCGAGAGACCGAUAGCGAACAAGUACCGUGAGGGAAAGAUGAAAAGAACUUUGGAAAGAGAGUUAAACAGUACGUGAAAUUGCUGAAAGGGAAACGCUUGAAGUCAGUCGCGUUGUCCAGGGAUCAACCUUGCUUUUGCUUGGUGUACUUUCUGGUUGACGGGUCAGCAUCAAUUUUGACUAUUGGAAAAAGGUCAGGGGAAUGUGGCAUCUUCGGAUGUGUUAUAGCCCUUGGUUGUAUACAAUGGUUGGGAUUGAGGAACUCAGCACGCCGCAAGGCCGGGUUUUUAACCACGUACGUGCUUAGGAUGCUGGCAUAAUGGCUUUAAUCGACCCGUCUUGAAACACGGACCAAGGAGUCUAACAUGCCUGCGAGUGUUUGGGUGGAAAACCCGAGCGCGUAAUGAAAGUGAAAGUUGAGAUCCCUGUCAUGGGGAGCAUCGACGCCCGGACCAGACCUUUUGUGACGGUUCCGCGGUAGAGCAUGUAUGUUGGGACCCGAAAGAUGGUGAACUAUGCCUGAAUAGGGUGAAGCCAGAGGAAACUCUGGUGGAGGCUCGUAGCGAUUCUGACGUGCAAAUCGAUCGUCAAAUUUGGGUAUAGGGGCGAAAGACUAAUCGAACCAUCUAGUAGCUGGUUCCUGCCGA